AGGACGAACGCUGGCGGCGUGCUUAACACAUGCAAGUCGAGCGGAAAGGCCCUUUGGGGUACUCGAGCGGCGAACGGGUGAGUAACACGUGAGUAACCUGCCCCUAGCUCUGGGAUAGCUCCGGGAAACCGGGAUUAAUACCAGAUACGACCACUUUAGACAUCCGUCGUGGUGGAAAGGAUUCCGGCUAGGGAUGGGCUCGCGGCCUAUCAGCUUGUUGGUGGGGUAACGGCCUACCAAGGCGACGAC
rnacentral:rRNA from 1 species